rnacentral:rRNA from 1 species
CGAAUGUCGCCCUUUGGUACGUGAACAAUCUGAUGGGAAACUUCAGAGCUAAUAACUCAGUAUUGUUGCCCUUCGGGGGAACACGAUUAUAUUGCCAUUGGAAGCAGGCCCGCGUUGGAUUACGCUUAGUUCGAGUCGGGGUAAAGGCCCACCAAAGGGCGUACGAUCCAUAGCUGGUCUGAGAGGAUGAUCGAGCCACACUGGGACUGAGACACGGUCCAGACUCAUACGGGAGGCAGCAGUAGGGAAUCUUGCGCAAUGGGCGAAAGCCUGACGCAGCCAUGCCGCGUGCAAUGAUGAAGGUCUUAGGAUUGUAAAAUCCUUUCACCGGGGAAGGAUCAUGACGGUACCCGGGAGA